GCAGGAAAGGUCUUUAAUAAUCAGCUCAGCUUGGGGUACUGGGUAGGUCAGUUGGUAGCAUCUGCUGGCAGGCAGGGCUUGUUAUUGGGGUCUCUAGUUGCA